CCUACGGGUGGCAGCAGUGGGGAAUAUUGCACAAUGGGGGAAACCCUGAUGCAGCGACGCCGCGUGAGUGAGGAAGGAUUUCGGUAUGGAAAGCUCUAUCAGCAGGGAAGAAAAUGACGGUACCUGACGAAGAAGCCGCGGCUAACUACGUGCCAGCAGCCGCGGUAAUACGUAGGGGGCAAGCUUUAUCCGGAUUUACGGGGGGGAAAGGGAGCGUAGACGGUUACUCAAGUCAGAAGGGAAAACCCAGGGCUCAACCUUGGGACUGCUUUUGAAACUGCGUAGCUAGAGUGCAGGAGAGGUCAGCGGACUUCCUCGUGUAGCGCUGCACUGCGUCGUUAUUAGGCG
rnacentral:rRNA from 1 species